GUGUAGAGGAGAUGGAAAGACAGAUGAUGGAUGAAUGCUAGGUGAAAUCAAAGUUUUAUUUAUAGUUGUAGGCCUACUCAUAUUUGAAAACUAGGGGAUAGGGGGUUGACAUAAGAUAGAGAGGGUUAAGAGUGAUAGAAACUAUGGCUUGGGAUAGAUUACUAAUGAAAUGAAUGAACUUUUUACAGGAAAUAAGUGAAACUUUACAUAUUUGAUCCCAGGAAAUUUCAAGAACUGUUUAAUUCCCAAAUUGGAUACAGGAGAAAUUGUUGAUUUUUCUCCAGAAAAAAAGUUCCCUAAAAUGAAUUAAAGAAUUUGAAAAAAUUACUUGCUACAUUUCUUAAUUAAAAAUGAACUUUCUAAAACCUGUGAUAUUUCAUGUCAUUACAGCUGAGUUGCCUUUCAGUAUAAAACUAUGUUUCUUAAUGCCUUAUGGACUCAUCAUUCUUUUCCAUAUUCUCUGCUGAAGAACAGACUCAAUUAGAAGACCGCUCACAUAACAUACCUGUAAUCAUGCAAAGCCUGUGAAUCUGCUAUGUUAUAUGACUUUUAUGACUUUACAGAAAUUUAGCAAUGAAGGAAUCUAGCUCACAGAUGCAAAGGGGACAGAACUAUAACUUCUCUAUUACUCUACACAUCAUAAUUGUUUAACCAAUUUUGAUGUGAAAAAAAAAUGAAAAGUAGUAUUUAAAUGCAGAAAACCAAAAAUAUUUAACUUAUAUUUUCAGCGGGUAACAAACAAUUAUUUCUAUUAAGGUCAAGAUUUUCUGGAGAAAAUCAGCAAUGUGUACAAAAUUGCAGCUGUUAUUGUAGAAACUAUUUCAGCUUAUUGCUAUUAUGAAACUCAGAUUGGCACCAUAAAAACAGAGCAUAAGAGGCAGUUCUUGCUUCAAAGUCUGGCCAUCUAAGUAGGUCUGAUAGAGUAAAAGUCAAAGUAAUUUGCUGAAACUCACACAGAAAUUCCACAACAGAGAUACAGAAAUAAAGAUCAUCAAAAAUCAUUAAAAUCUCCUGACCUACAAAGGGAUUUAGAGCAGUAGGUAUCAUUAAAGAAAAACAGAAUGAGUCCACAGCAUGUAGGUGAAGAAAGCUUAACUUGGUAGAGCUUGUCAAUCUCUUGGCAAAAGCAUGUGAAAAUUUUUUAAGAGGAGGGAUGUGCUGGAAGGCUGAUUCAGAUUUUGUGAAAGGAAAUGAGCAAGCUCUGGGAUUUGCAGCUACAAAGCCAGAGAUAAUGAAGAAAUCAUAUUUGUCAAAGGAGCAUUGAAGAGCAGAAAGUGGAAGAGAAGAAAUGCCUGGAGCAGAGGGGCCCUCAAUGCCACCAGCCCAGAACAUCAGGACUCUGAUAUCGUGCUCUGCUUGGACAUUGCUGUGGAAACUGUAUGCUGGGGGCAGAAUGAAGAAGGAGGAUUUGUCAGGAUUUGCACUGAAAGGGGAACACAAAAGUUGGGUUCUUCACAAUCAAAACCUGAUAGCAGAAUCUGGUCGAUGAUAAAGACAUCACAACGUAUCUUAGAGAAUCAAUACAAGUUUCAGAUGUGGCAAAAUGAAUGUCAAUGAAAAGCAAGAGUUAUGCAUGUAGUGAUAAAGCAUUAAGGCUGACCAUAUCCUGGUGCAGGACAAGGCUGGGUGGUAGAUGCCUCACCCGAGACAGCUGUACUCUUCUCUUCAUGUUCACUCGAUUCUACAAGAGAAGAACAAUUACAGGUUUUGGAUAUCCAAGUUAAUGGUGAAGAAUUUACUGGGUGCAAGUGUCUGUGAACUGCAAGUCUUGAAAUAAAGAGAAAAAUUCUGUUUGGUUUACACAAAGGCUCCUCUGAUGAUGCAUUUUCUUUGGAACACAAUUAAAGAAAAUAAAGGAAUAAAACCAAAAUGAAACAAGGGACUAA